GCGUCGGUGGUGCGACGGUUCAGCACACGCUCCCGUAAAGAGUGAGAUCUGGGUUCGAAAUCUCGGCCGACGCG